UACGAAGGGGGCUAGCGUUGUUCGGAAUUACUGGGCGUAAAGCGUGCGCAGGCGGUUAUGCAAGACAGAUGUGAAAUCCCUGGGCUUAACCUAGGAACUGCAUUUGUGACUGCAUGGCUAGAGUGUGUCAGAGGGGGGUAGAAUUCCACGUGUAGCAGUGAAAUGCGUAGAGAUGUGGAGGAAUACCGAUGGCGAAGGCAGCCCCCUGGGAUAACACUGACGCUCAUGCACGAAAGCGUGGGGAGCAAACAGG
rnacentral:rRNA from 1 species